AAAUAAAACUGUAGUAUAAAAGGUACUGUUUCUCUAAUCAUAAAUUUCUAACGGAGGGAUUUUGUCAAUACUACUGAGCCAAUUUCUUGCGUUUGAUUCGGUAGACAUCCAUUUUAAUGGAAGUUCUACCAACUGUCCCCGAAUGCCACGUAGUAAGUCGUAAACUACACGUUUGUCAGGAACUUGUAAACCAUUAUUAGUACGGGUUUUUGGUUUCUCUGUCUUCGAAUCUUCACUUGCACUCGUGUUACCACUACCUUGGGAACCAGCCUUUGGAUUUUUUGGAUCAUUCUCUGACUUUUCAUGAGUUUCGUGUAGAUUUGACAACUCCUCCUGACGCCAGCGGGCUUGCUCUUCUUUAAAGCGUUUUCCAUAUUUUUUCCACUCAUUAUAUGAUUCCCACGUUAGCAUCUCGUCAUCCGGUACACAUCGAAAUAUGUGCCGAUAAAUAGUAGUAUUGUUUGAAGCCACUUUAGACCAUAUGUCUUCAAAAAAUUCAUCGCAGACGGGGUCCUCAAAGCUUGAAGCGUCAAAUUUAGGAAUUGUUUCUCCACUAAUAGGAUUCACCUCAAGCAAUGGUAUAUCAUCAUAAAACACAAGUCCAUUUCCACAGUGUGGACGACUGGGUUCAGGCACUAGAUGAUCAGGGUCUUUAAGUACCAUUGGACGUUGAUCCUCCCCACAUUGAGAGAACUUGGAAAGUUCAUAUAAUGAGUCCUCCUUUGUUUUCAGUGAUAAGGGGAUGCCGCCUACUAGGGCGUUGGCUAUAACAUCAGGCCCUUUUUUAGACUUCUCGUAGUUCUUUUCAAACUCGACCUUGUCCUUUUGAGUUUUAAUAUUGAAUUCAAUCGAAGAAGGAAUUAAACUGACACGUUGAUCUAGUUUCUUCAUACUCUUUUCAGCUUUUCGUAAGAUGUCUGGAGUAGUGGUAAAUUGACUCUGAGAACGAUAUUUCAUUUUCAACUCUUCAGCAGUGUAAGCAGAACCAUUAAUGGCAUUGCCUUCAUCAGGAGUCCAGACUUCUACACGUUUCCACUCUGUAUCGCGAUCCAAGCCAUCCAUGUUGUAUUCUCGUUGUUCAAGCACAUCGGUCUCUAAACCUAAGUGCUCCCUCAUAAGUCGUUUCCGAAGAGUGUGUGCAAAUUUUCCAACUUUAUAGGGCUUACCGUCCAUCUUGGAGUCAAUGGUUAGAGUAUCUCUAAUUACCGCAGCAAUUUCAGAAUCGCGGUUACCAAGCAAAGAACGUUCAUUAAUGUUUGCGGAACCAAUGACCGCAACUCGAUCGUCUGCAAUAAGAAUUUUAGCAUGAACAUAGAUCAUUUCAGUCACAAGUUCAUGGUUUUCUCCCAAAUGGGCCCAACCGCGCAAACCAUAAAAACGCAAGUACUUGCUGCCAUCAAUACCCUUGGCAUUUAACCUUCCAAAUAUUGAAUGUUCACCAUGGCAAAUGCUGCGAUAUUGACAUUCCACAAUCAACCUAAGACUACCGCCCUCUUGUAAAUCUAUCUGACCUUCAAAACCGGGAAGCAACGGAAUCAUUAUAACACCACGCCAUUUUUCAUUAUUUUUGUGAGCCCUUAUAAUCCUCUCAACUAAAGCAUCUCCAACACGAUUUUCUAUCGUCGUACCUUCACAAGUGGUAGAGGUUACGAAAAAUUGAUUUUCAAUAUAAAUAAAAUGUUCGCUCUUUUCUAUGCACGUAACAUAAGCAUUCUGAAUACUUUGCUCAACAGUAUCAACUAAACCUAAAGACCAUAGUCCGGCAGAUCUCAGGACUUGUACUUCGCAGGUACCGGUCAAUUGGCUAUCAGUUAAUUGGUCUGUGGUAAAAUCAGGAGGAGGAAUUAGCAAAGGUGUUUUCCGGGCAGGCUUCUUGCAUUGAAUAAGAUAAUUCCAUCGCUGAACAAAGUGUCGCGCAGCAUCUCGAGCAGGUUGA
rnacentral:lncRNA from 1 species